AGGCCGUGUGUGCAGUGCGUUGGGGGGGCGUGCAGCUCCGCUGCGCAUUUCCCUCACGCAUAGAUCCGUUGCUAACCGGUGAUAACCUUAGAAGUGAUAAAAGCCUGAGAGCAUCCCUCUUCCAGAGUAGUCUGCAGAGGUACCCUGGGAAAGAAAGAGGCACAGCAUGCAGGAGAAAAGAUAAUAAAUCGUCUCACGCUUUCCAGAAGUACCACCAAGCUCGAUGUCCAAAGGCUUUACAGCAGACUGGCUGUGAACACUUGGCAAUCAGUGACUUCAGCUCCUGCAAGGUAACCGUUGCUCAUAAAUGAUUCCCAAGAACCAAAGUGAGUGACUUGAAGAAAAACUGAUAUGAUCACUGAACAGAAAUGUAUUCUGGACUCAGACAAGGAAAUAAGCUUGCAUCACAAGUGU
ensembl:lncRNA